rnacentral:lncRNA from 1 species
AUUUUGGACUGCUAGCCUUCAGAACUGUAAGAGAACAAAUUCUUGUUUUAAGCCACCUAGUUUGUGAUACUCUCUUAUAACAUCUCUAGGAAACUAAUACAGAGAGAAAACAUAGGGAAAGAGAAAAUCAAUACCAGAUAAUACCACAUUGAUAAUCUUUUCAGCAGCCAAAUGGACUGAGCUUAUUCUUGAUCUGACAGUUUUUCCACUAACAUUUUUUCUAGUUCCUCCUUAAUUAGUCAUCUGCUGCCAAUUGGGUCUUUGGUUUUUAGUUUUUUCUGAAAACAGACCUUGAGCUCACAAGUGGUUUUGGUUGUUUUUUUUUUUUUUUUUUUUUUUUUUUCUUUCUUCUUCUUCACAUGUAGUAGCUUUCUGUGUGCCUCAUGCAUUCUUGAAUAAUAUGCUUGUUUGCCAGUAUAAAAAGAACAUGAAAUGGGCGGCCAUCUUCUCCCCACUGGAUGCUCUUUGUUUUGGAAAUAUCUCUUCAGGAUACUUCAUUAUUGGCUGGGCUCACUUCUCAAACCCCUGGGGAAAAGGAGCCAGAGAGAAGUUAUAAUUCAAGACCUGAAAUGGAAGAGAAGAAAAAAAAAAAAGAAGAAGAAGAAGAAAGUGGAAGGAAAGAAGGAAGAAAACAGCUAAUUAUUCAUUCAUUAAGUACAUACACCAAGUAUGUGCCCAGUUCCAUAAAGAUAAGAUUAAUAUCCAACAUUUUCUUUCUAUAGUCUCAUUGCUUUGUUGUUUUUGUUGUUCAGUAGCUAAUUUGUGUCUGUUCUUUGUGACCCCAUGGAUUGCAGCAUGCCAAGCUCCUCUGUCCUCCACUGUCUCCCAGAGUUUGCUCAGAUUUAUGUCCAUUGAGUCAGUGAUGCUAUCUAACAAUCUCAUCCUCUGCUGCCCCUUCUCCUUUUGCCUUCAAUCUUACGCAGCAUCAGGGUUUUUUCCAAAGAGUCAGCUUUCAUGGCUUAGCCCAGUACAUUACAUAUAACAGAUGCUCAAUAAAUAUUUAUUGAGUGAAUUAAGCCAUAAGGGUAGCAAAUAUCAAUGUUAAUGAAAAGAGAUUUGACUCAUAAUGGUGUAGAGAAUCUAAGGGAGAAAGUAGUGUCCCCUUAGGGGCUUCCCUGGUGGCUCAGACUGUAAAGAAUCUGCCUGCAGGAUUGUGGGAGACCUGGACUUGAUCACUGGGUUGGAAACAUCUCCUGGAGGAGGGCAUGACAGCCCACUCCAGUAUUCUUGCCUGAAAAAUCCCCACGGAUAAGGGAGCCUGGUGGGCCACAGUCCAUGGGGUUGCAAAGAUUCAGACCUGACUGAGCAACUAAGCACAGCACAGUGGCCCUUAGAGUAUCAUACAUAUGAAACUGGCCAGACUCAGUUAGAUCCCCCAGUUAGGGUAAGAGAAGUGCUUGGGCAACUGACCCACUGCACGUGUUACAGCAAAAUGCACAACACAUAAUGUUCAAGAACACUGGCUAUCUUUGGACCUCGUCCAGGCAAAGCUGGUAGUAAGAGACUAAAAUAGAGCAAUAUAACCAGGGAGAUAGCCAGACCAUGGAUAGUCCAACAGCUGUUAACAUAGUGUGUGCCAUGGGAAUGUAUAUACGUCACAGAAGGAUUUCUAUACAAAUGUACAGAUAUCUUUUUCUAAAUAUUUCAGUACUGUUGAGAGAUUAGUAUUGGACAUAUUCACUCUUUUUUACAUCAUAGAUAUAUGUUUUACCAGAUGCAUUUAAAGAAAAAUGUUUGUGUGCUAAGUUGCUUCAGUCGUGUCUGAUCUUUGCAGCCCUAUGGACCAUAGCCUGCCAGGCUCCUCUGUCCAUGGGAUUCUCCAGGCAAGAAUACUGGAGUGGAUUGCCAUGCCCUCCUCCAGGGGAUCUUCCCAACCUAGGGAUUUGAACCCACAUCUCUACGUUUCCUGCAUUGGCAGGCAGCUUCUUUACCACUAGUGCCACCUGGGAAGCCCAUAAAGAAAAAUAUAAAAUUUAUUUUAAAUUGUGAAAACAUUUACUUUGAAAUAAUUUUAGACAAAGUUGCAAAAAUAGUACAGAGUUCCUAUAGAAUCUUUGCCCAGU